GCCAGCGGGUGCGGGUGCAGGGCUUCCCUUUGAAAAGACAUCUGUGCCAUUUCCCUGGGCUGGCCUGUGCCUUGGCUGAGCCUGGGGCUUCUCAUUUGCAAAGGCCUUUGUCUUGACUUUCACACCAGCACAGAGUCCCCCUCCUGAAAACGCUCCUUGAGUUCAGGAUGAGGAAGGUAAAGGUUUCUCCCCGUCCCUCUUUCCCAGGAGAAGGAAAUGAUGCCCCUGGACUUGCGCCACCUCUUGGAGCUGAAACUUUCUGCUUUUCUUCUGCCUUGCUAAAGGAUGAUCCCAAAUCUAGACGACUCUGUGUUGGCUGUGGAAGGAGAAGCUGAAAGCAGCCUCCACUGAACGUUUAGGGCCGCAAAGGCCAGGCUGAUCAUUGGUAACUCCAGAUACGUAGCAGGAGAAAGACAAAAAUAAAGAAAAAGGCAGUGAGUGCAGGCCUCCGGCUGUGGUCCUGGCCACUCAGGGACUAAGGUGGGGGGACCACUUGAGGUAGGAGUUAGAAGGCAGAGUGAGAGACUUUGACAUUAUUAUUAAGUUUUUGCUUAUUUGUUUGUUUGUUUGUGGAGGGCAGGGGUGCCUCCUGGCACGACCCGUGUGUGGCGCUCAGUGACAACCUGUCAGAGUUCAUUCUCUUUCUCUGUGUGGGUUCUUAAUGAUUAGACUCAAGCUUGGCGGCAAGUGUUCUCACCCACGGAGCCAUCUUUCCGUCCCAGAGACCCUGAAAUGUGAGAAAUGUGAGAGAAGUGCAGACUCUAACGAGAACGUCUUUAAGAGCCUUGAAAUGCAGGAAGGCAUCCGGAGCCAGACAAUGAGGUUCAAGACAAAGCCAGCUUCAGUGCCGCUGGCCCUCACCAAGGAAGGAACGUGGGCGGAAUCCACCAACAAUCAAUCAGGCCAGCAUCCACUCUGCCCCAGGUCGGAGCAAAGUUGGGGGUUAGCCCCGGUGAAAGAAGGUGUGUGGGCUCCGAGACAGAUCCCUUGAACUGGAGGAAGGGCACAUGUGGGAUUGCUGUCCAGACUGGUGCCUCCUUUCAACAGCAAGAAACUACGUUAGUAGAGAACUCUGAGGAGCAGAAGGAAGCUCAGAAGCCUCAGAACAAGGCAAAGUGACUUGGAUUUAUGACAGCUCGGCCGAUCACGGGUAUCCCGGACAUACUUUGUAUGUGCAUGAUGUUCAUGUGAAAGGUGGUGAAGGGUACUCAGCCUGACAGGAGCGCUGUCAGCGGUAAAUGAGGUCAGGACGAAUGAGGCUUGUUACGAGUAAAGCUUAUCAAAUGGCAACCACGGGUCAUAACAGUAAAACUGUGCUCUGGUAGUAGAGAUUAAUAAAGUGAGAAAGAGCUGUCACAAUGCCA